rnacentral:rRNA from 1 species
AUUGAACGCUGGCGGAAUGCCUUACACGUGCAAGUCGAACGGUAGAGGGGGCAACCCCUCGAGAGUGGCGAACGGGUGAGUAAUAUAUCGGAACGUGCCCAGUCGUGGGGGAUAACGUAGCGAAAGUUACGCUAAUACCGCAUACGAUCUAAGGAUGAAAGCGGGGGAUCGCAAGACCUCGCGCGAUUGGAGCGGCCGAUAUCAGAUUAGGUAGUUGGUGGGGUAAAGGCUCACCAAGCCAACGAUCUGUAGCUGGUCUGAGAGGACGACCAGCCACACUGGAACUGAGACACGGUCCAGACUCCUACGGGAGGCAGCAGUGGGGAAUUUUGGACAAUGGACGCAAGUCUGAUCCAGCCAUUCCGCGUGCAGGAUGAAGGCCCUCGGGUUGUAAACUGCUUUUGUACGGAACGAAAAGGUCUCUCUUAAUACGGGGGGCUCAUGACGGUACCGUAAGAAUAAGCACCGGCUAACUACGUGCCAGCCGCCGCGGUAA